rfam:Eimeria praecox, Houghton, WGS project CBTT01000000 data, contig: Eph_contig6431_3
GCCAUCAUAGCUUAGUGGUAGAGCAUCGGUCUUGUAAACCGAAGGUCGUGGGUUCGAUUCCCAUUGAUGGCU